rnacentral:rRNA from 1 species
CUCCAAUAGCGUAUAUUAAAGUUGUUGCAGUUAAAAAGCUCGUAGUUGAACCUUGGGUCUGGCUGGCCGGUCCGCCUCACCGCGUGUACUGGCCCGGCCGGACCUUUCCUUCUGGGGAGCCGCAUGCCCUUCACUGGGCGUGUCGGGGAACCAGGACUUUUACUUUGAAAAAAUUAGAGUGUUCAAAGCAGGCCUUUGCUCGAAUACAUUAGCAUGGAAUAAUAGAAUAGGACGUGCGGUUCUAUUUUGUUGGUUUCUAGGACCGCCGUAAUGAUUAAUAGGGAUAGUCGGGGGCAUCCGUAUUCAAUUGUCAGAGGUGAAAUUCUUGGAUUUAUUGAAGACGAACUACUGCGAAAGCAUUUGCCAAGGAUGUUUUCAUUAAUCAGUGAACGAAAGUUAGGGGAUCGAAGACGAUCAGAUACCGUCGUAGUCUUAACCAUAAACUAUGCCGACUCGGGAUCGGUGGGCGUUACUAUUUUGACUCCAUCGGCACCGUACGAGAAAUCAGAGUUUGCGGGUUCUGGGGGGAG